rnacentral:sRNA from 1 species
UGUAUAAAUAUUCCGGGCCACGCAUAACUGUGCUUUCUCUGGGCAAAAACCAAAACAAAACAAAUUUCGCAUAGAAAAGUGUAUUUUUAGAGUAUUAACGUAUCGGCUAUCAGGAGGAUGCAUGUAAGAAAGUGCUCCCCAGCGUGGGGGGACUAUGCUAUUUUACGAGCUGUAUUUCACAUUUUCACAGGUCACCGCCACGCACACAAUCACAAAUAGACACGCACACGCAUACGAAUACGCACAUAAACACAUUUGUCCAAGGGAGCGCGACAAUUGCCUGAACGGCGCGGCCGGCCUUGUGGGACAUUUUGCAUGGAGCAGAGGAUGCGAUGCGAUGCGAUGCGAUGGUCCGGCACUGGAGGAGGAAACCUAAUGAGCGCGUACCGCCCACGCAAUGAAACGGGCCAGAGACACACACACACACACACACACACAUACUAGGCAAUUUUGGGCUGCUGUCUCGGAUCUCGGGGGCAUAUCUGUCAGAAGAUGCUGCGCGAGAGAGGAGGGAUGCUGCUACAGGAUGGACUCUGAUGUGCAGAUGGAUACAGGAUAGCAGAGAGAGCAGACACACGGAUACACUGAGACAAACAAACUUUAAGGUGGCAUUCAUUUCGAUUCGAAAAUGGACUCCUUCCUCGCGCGAGUAUUUUCGGGCAGUGUAUGCCUGGUUCCCCCUCGCGGCGUGGUGGCCCCGCAUGUUACGCAUUUCCUCUUGGGAUUCCAGGGCAUUGGGCGCUGUUCUUUUGAUAUUGUAAUGUGCAUAAUAGGAUUUUUAUGACACCUUUACUGUGGGGGCGGGCGGGCAUCAGGCAUCGCCAAUGGCACCAAUGGCUGCUGCCUCGCCUAAUCGCCAGAAGGACUGGCAGACUGGCCCCCUGUUUCCGCUGCUGAUGCUCUCCUUCUUGUCACCAAAAAGUUGCAAAUUUUAUUGGCCGGAUGUGCGGAUGUGCGGAUGUGCGGCAGCGGCAUGUGGAUUGUGGAUUUGCAUCAGAUCAUGAAUUUCACACGAUGGUAAUGGCCACAUUAGCAUUGACUACACGCAUUUAUGGCCCAGACCACACCCCAACCCCCAACCCCACCUCCAUUCUCCGGCCCAGGGGUAAGGUAAGUGCAUGUGCUAAAUUUUUAAUAUGCAAAUUUCGUUUCAGGGCUGCCGCCUGUGCGCUCACCUUUCGCAUUUCAUUUACACUUGUGCUGCAUAUUUUAUUGUGUUGUAUGUACACGGCAUUAUUGCACACAAAUGGCCAGUUACAUAUUAAGCCGAACAAUAACCGCCGACUGUGUUGUCAGGACUCUGGGGGAAACCCGGAUGUGGAUGUGGAUGCGAAUGUGGAUAUGGGUCCUCCAGAUGGCUGGCAAAAUGCCAUUUGAUUCGAGCGACACUUGGGGCUGUCUCUGUCUCCUGCUCCUGCCUCGUUGCGCAUCGUUUGGGAGCCCCUCCUCUCUAAUGGCUGUACGGAAUUAAUUUUCCAAAACCUUUUGAAAGGUGUCGCCUCCAUGCAAUUCCAAGGAGAUCGAUAAGUCCAGGGAGAGCUAAAUUGUGGAUUUACAUUGAGAGGCCACAGUAAAUCAUCGUUCUGCGAGUACGAGUAGUAUGUGCCUGGAAUGAGCCGUCGAAAAUCAAUAGCGUGAGACACUCCAGACAAAGCCAACAGGAGGCAACCCUUUCAAUCAGCAGCAUCAGAUGUACGACGAGUAUUCUCCACGCGUCGAUGGCCAUCAGCAGCCCCGAGGACACGGACACGGACACGGACAUGGACACGGACACAAUGCGAUGCUAUCGCAGAUCAAGUUGCUUUAACCUCCCCAUCAAUUAAAGUAAGAGGCUUUUUCUUUAUUUUAUCUAUUGUGGCUUUUGGUCCAGCUGUUGGCUGUAUUUGGUUGAAUUUUAAGUGAAAUUUCAAUAUUUAUAAAUU